rnacentral:rRNA from 1 species
AUGGAACGCUGGCGGCAUGCUUUACACAUGCAAGUCGAACGGUAACAGGCCUUCGGGUGCUGACGAGUGGCGAACGGGUGAGUAAUGCAUCGGAACGUACCCAGAGGUGGGGGAUAACGCAGCGAAAGCUGUGCUAAUACCGCAUGUGAUCUGAGGAUGAAAGCGGGGGACCGAGCAGCAAUGUUUGGCCUCGCGCCUUUGGAGCGGCCGAUGUCGGAUUAGCUAGUUGGUGGGGUAAAGGCCUACCAAGGCGACGAUCCGUAGCUGGUCUGAGAGGACGACCAGCCACACUGGGACUGAGACACGGCCCAGACUCCUACGGGAGGCAGCAGUGGGGAAUUUUGGACAAUGGGCGCAAGCCUGAUCCAGCAAUGCCGCGUGCGGGAAGAAGGCCUUCGGGUUGUAAACCGCUUUUGGCAGGAACGAAACGGUGUCCGCUAAUACCGGGCGCUAAUGACGGUACCUGCAGAAUAAGCACCGGCUAACUACGUG